AUCCAUCUGACGAGUCCCAAAUAGAACAAAGCGUGCGUCCUGGAC
rnacentral:hammerhead_ribozyme from 1 species